rnacentral:lncRNA from 1 species
UCUCCAUCUAUCUUCUUCCCUAUCUAGAAUAUCCCAAUUUAAGAUCUAUGAAUUGAAAGACCUCAAUCCAGGUCUGAUCUAGUUGGGUACCAUAUCUUGAAAUUUUUAGAGGUAGUUUCAGAGGCGUUCUUCAUCUGGAACAAAAGGUUGACGAAGAAGACAGCAACCAGGCUGAUUUCGUCAAGGGCCUUGGAUCGUGUCUAGAAGACUCCAGAUCUAUUCGUUGCUGGUUCUGCUGCACCCA